CAGCAGCUCUGGCCUUGACAUGCAGAAUGACGCCGGCGAGUUCGUGGACCUAUACGUGCCACGGAAAUGCUCCGCUAGCAACCGCAUCAUCGGUGCUAAGGACCACACAUCCAUCCAGAUGAACGUGGCUGAGGUUGACAAGGUUACCGGUAGAUUUAAUGGCCAGUUUAAAACCUAUGCUAUCUGUGGGGCCAUUCGCAGGAUGGGUGAAUCAGAUGAUUCCAUUCUUCAAUUGGCCAAGGCUGAUGGCAUCGUUUCAAAGAAUUUCUGACUGGAGAGAAUCUGGGAUGUGGAAUGAAUGCCAUAAAUAAAUAGUGAAACCCACAAAAAAAAAAAUAAAUAAAAA